CACCCAGAGAGAGUGUGGUUUUUACUUAUUUACCAUCAAAACUUUCCCCCUCAUAUAGAUCCUGGCAUGACUCAUAAUUUUAAUGGAUUUUAAGAGCAGCUCCCCAACCUGCUUCCCAGAAUCUUCUGGAGAGCUUUUACAGAUAAAGCAGGUCCUAGACCAAUGAUGUCAGGUCCAAGACUGUGCAUAUUUUCAAAGUGUCCCAGCUUAGUCUGAUGUGUGCCCUCCUGCCUGGAAUAUUCUGUCUGCCUCCCACUUGCCUGAUCAGGGGAAGAUUUAAUCCUUCACUGACUUUAGGUCUCUGCUCCGGUAAUACCCACAAAGAGCGGCCCAGGUACUGUGUUAUCUAAAAUUACAACCCUCUCCCCUCCCUGCUUCAUUUCUCUUCCCAGAAUUUGCCACUAUCAAAUAGACGGUGCUUGUCUCACGCCUGCACCCCUGAAAGCAAGGACUCUGUUUGGCUGCCUGCUCUACCCCAUCAAGCGUCUGAAUGGGGAUUUGGGAAACAUCAGGGACUUGGUAACAGCACACAGCCAGUGGGCUUCAGCGCUGCAGUGAUCAGCUACUGUGUUCGUUUGGCUCCAAGACAAAAGCAGCACCAAUGUUCAGAAGUGGCAUUAUCCCCCAGCCACGCAGCUGGACGCUCCCUGGCACAGCGCCCGCGGGUUGGUCCACACUGGGGGAAGGCAACGCUCUCGCCGGCAUCCGACUCGGGUGUGCUGCAGUCAGCAAUUCAAAACUGAAAGCUCGAACGUUCCGCCACCCAGAGGCCCCCGAGGAAAUCAUCGGCCUUUGUGCUGAGGCCCAAAUGGACAGUGGCCGAAGAGGAGGCCUGUCCUCUGUGCAUAAGCCUGAUUGCCCGGCACUCCAUCCUGCCUGCUUCAGCGCCGUCCCCUCACGUCUCUGGUGCACCGCGCGGAAAACGAGCAGCUACAGAGUGAUGGGCAAGUAUGAAGCUUAGGAAAGGGUUCCAAGAAACCAAAGGUUUACUGUUCGGGUCAGCCCACCCACUCAGCCCCCAGUAAUGAGGCCGAAGCACAGCCACUUCAUCGUAGAGGAUGCCUCCACGGUCUCCACCCGCCCCUGACCACCUCCCCACCCCAGAGCCAGCGAGGAUUCACAAAAGCACUUUCCAUCUUCCUCCUCUUAUCACGUCAUCUGCUCUGAAGAUGAAAUACAGUGUUUCAUAUUUAGAUUUGCUCUGAGUAACCACAUCCAGUGACAUCAAUAUCUGGAAGAAAUGUGAAAACACAAAAUAUCUGCCUUCCAGAGUCGUGUGAUCUGAACAAAAGAGAAAUCUAUCUUAGGGAAGAUGAUGUCUCCUAAAUAAGAGAAUGUGGAAAAGUGUGAAGUACCCCUCAAACAGGGUCAGCUCAAGGAAACUGCAGAGCGUGAGUCAGGGUGUGAAUCUGGGGGACAGGGAGGGCUGGACAGUGGGCGUACACGACAGUGCGGGACACUAAUUAUUCCUGCAGCAAUGCGGCCAUCACCAGAGGGAAAGAUGUACAGACUACAAAAACCAAACCCAUAAAGAUGGGNNNNNNNNNNNNNNNNNNCCAGCACCGGGCGUGGAUUUAAAAACUGGACCUCCACCAGCUGGUGGUCCCCACCCUUGAGAAACUGACCAGCCCCACUUCUAACCACGGUUUACUGUCAGUGAAACGAAAUGGUGCCAGCCAUUUCUAGGAGUCCUGAGUUUUAAACUUCCUCGUCUGAAACCUCUGGAUAAAGUACCCAUUACUUUAUUCUAUAAUAAAUGCUUUGUCUCAGUCUGCUGAAAGCCUGUUUCUCCCUCCGCUGUCCUUACCGUCAUAAUCGUUUGAUUUCCUGCCCAGCUGCUUACCCCUAAAAUUUAGGAGACUUGACUAAUAAACACAGAAGCAGUGAUGGUUACACAGGGAUGCUGAAACUAGGGAUGGAAAGGUGGUGAGGAAUAGAAUGUGCACAUAACCUCCAAGUCUCACCCUGUAAGUCACAUGCUAAUUACAAAGAGAAGAGGCCUGAGAUUAAUCCAGGAGACACCAUCUCUAACCAUGUGAUCAAACCAACACUAACGAUGUCGGGACAAGUGGCUAUCCCAGGCCCCCGAUACCAC
ensembl:lncRNA